rnacentral:rRNA from 1 species
UACGUAGGGCGCAAGCGUUGUCCGGAAUUAUUGGGCGUAAAGAGCCCGUAGGUGGCUUGUCACGUCGGGUGUGAAAGCUUGGGGCUUAACUCCAGGUCUGCAUUCGAUACGGGCUGGCUAGAGGUAGGUAGGGGAGAACGGAAUUCCUGGUGUAGCGGUGAAAUGCGCAGAUAUCAGGAGGAACACCGGUGGCGAAGGCGGUUCUCUGGGCCUUACCUGACGCUGAGGAGCGAAAGCGUGGGGAGCGAACAGG